GGUCUGAUGGGAUUAUUGCGCAACGAGCCCCUCCGCAUUUGCUUUCAUUUUAAUUUGAUUUUUAUUCAUUUUUUAAUUGUUACCUCAUAUUUAGUUCCAAUUUCAAUUAGAUCCAUGUUUGAACGACGUCGUUUUCAUUAAUUGGGUUUGAAGGCCUGGUUUUGUGCGUCUAAAUUGCAGCAAUGGUCCCUCUGAUGUGCAAUGGUUCUCGAUUUGGUUGUCUUCACACUUAUUUCAAAGACGUCCCUGAGAUUUUGUUUUAUUUUUGAAAUUGUCCUUGUCUUCUUUUAAUUUAUAAUGCUAUUAUUAUUAUUAUUGUUAUUAUUACUAUUAUUAAUAUAGGUAUUGUUAUCGUGUUGGUUUAUAUCUAUUUAUUUACUUUUAUUUUACAUUAUUUUAUUUUAUUAUGUAUUAUUUUGUAAUGCUUUUAUCAUGUAU
rnacentral:lncRNA from 1 species